GACAGAGGGUGCAAACGUUGUUCGGAAUUACUGGGCGUAAAGCGCGUGUAGGCUGCUCAGCAAGUCGGAUGUGAAAGCCCUGGGCUUAACCUAGGAAGUGCAUUCGAAACUUCUGAGCUGGAGUUCUGGAGAGGAAGGCGGAAUUCUCGGUGUAGAGGUGAAAUUCGUAGAUAUCGAGAGGAACACCGGUGGCGAAGGCGGCCUUCUGGACAGUGACUGACGCUGAGACGCGAAAGCGUGGGGAGCGAACAGG
rnacentral:rRNA from 1 species